UUAAGUUAGAAAGGGCGCACGGUGGAUGCCUUGACACUAGGAGUCGAUGAAGGACGGGACUAACGCCGAUAUGCUUCGGGGAGCUGUAAGUAAGCUUUGAUCCGAAGAUUUCCGAAUGGGGAAACCCACCAUACGUAAUGGUAUGGUAUCCUUAUCUGAAUACAUAGGGUAAGGAAGACAGACCCAGGGAACUGAAACAUCUAAGUACCUGGAGGAAGAGAAAGCAAAUGCGAUUUCCUGAGUAGCGGCGAGCGAAACGGAACAUAGCCCAAACCAAGAGGCUUGCCUCUUGGGGUUGUAGGACAUUCUAUACGGAGUUACAAAGGAACGAGGUAGACGAAGCGACCUGGAAAGGUCCGUCGUAGAGGGUAACAACCCCGUAGUCGAAACUUCGUUCUCUCUUGAAUGUAUCCUGAGUACGGCGGAACACGUGAAAUUCCGUCGGAAUCUGGGAGGACCAUCUCCCAAGGCUAAAUACUCCCUAGUGAUCGAUAGUGAACCAGUACCGUGAGGGAAAGGUGAAAAGCACCCCGGAAGGGGAGUGAAAGAGAUCCUGAAACCGUGUGCCUACAAAUAGUCAGAGCCCGUUAACGGGUGAUGGCGUGCCUUUUGUAGAAUGAACCGGCGAGUUACGAUCCCGUGCGAGGUUAAGCUGAAGAGGCGGAGCCGCAGCGAAAGCGAGUCUGAAUAGGGCGUUUAGUACGUGGUCGUAGACCCGAAACCAGGUGAUCUACCCAUGUCCAGGGUGAAGUUCAGGUAACACUGAAUGGAGGCCCGAACCCACGCACGUUGAAAAGUGCGGGGAUGAGGUGUGGGUAGCGGAGAAAUUCCAAUCGAACCUGGAGAUAGCUGGUUCUCCCCGAAAUAGCUUUAGGGCUAGCCUUAAGUGUAAGAGUCUUGGAGGUAGAGCACUGAUUGGACUAGGGGUCCUCAUCGGAUUACCGAAUUCAGUCAAACUCCGAAUGCCAAUGACUUAUCCUUAGGAGUCAGACUGCGAGUGAUAAGAUCCGUAGUCAAAAGGGAAACAGCCCAGACCGCCAGCUAAGGUCCCAAAGUGUGUAUUAAGUGGAAAAGGAUGUGGAGUUGCUUAGACAACUAGGAUGUUGGCUUAGAAGCAGCCACCAUUUAAAGAGUGCGUAAUAGCUCACUAGUCGAGUGACUCUGCGCCGAAAAUGUACCGGGGCUAAAUACACCACCGAAGCUGCGGAUUGAUACCAAUGGUAUCAGUGGUAGGGGAGCGUUCUAAGGACAGUGAAGUCAGACCGGAAGGACUGGUGGAGUGCUUAGAAGUGAGAAUGCCGGUAUGAGUAGCGAAAGACGGGUGAGAAUCCCGUCCACCGAAUGCCUAAGGUUUCCUGAGGAAGGCUCGUCCGCUCAGGGUUAGUCAGGACCUAAGCCGAGGCCGACAGGCGUAGGCGAUGGACAACAGGUUGAUAUUCCUGUACCACCUCUUUAUCGUUUGAGCAAUGGAGGGACGCAGAAGGAUAGAAGAAGCGUGCGAUUGGUUGUGCACGUCCAAGCAGUUAGGCUGAUAAGUAGGCAAAUCCGCUUAUCGUGAAGGCUGAGCUGUGAUGGGGAAGCUCCUUAUGGAGCGAAGUCUUUGAUUCCCCGCUGCCAAGAAAAGCUUCUAGCGAGAUAAAAGGUGCCUGUACCGCAAACCGACACAGGUAGGCGAGGAGAGAAUCCUAAGGUGUGCGAGAGAACUCUGGUUAAGGAACUCGGCAAAAUGACCCCGUAACUUCGGGAGAAGGGGUGCUUUCUUAACGGAAAGCCGCAGUGAAUAGGCCCAAGCGACUGUUUAGCAAAAACACAGCUCUCUGCGAAGCCGUAAGGCGAAGUAUAGGGGGUGACACCUGCCCGGUGCUGGAAGGUUAAGGAGAGGGGUUAGCGUAAGCGAAGCUCUGAACUGAAGCCCCAGUAAACGGCGGCCGUAACUAUAACGGUCCUAAGGUAGCGAAAUUCCUUGUCGGGUAAGUUCCGACCCGCACGAAAGGUGUAACGAUUUGGGCACUGUCUCAACCAGAGACUCGGUGAAAUUAUAGUACCUGUGAAGAUGCAGGUUACCCGCGACAGGACGGAAAGACCCCGUGGAGCUUUACUGUAGCCUGAUAUUGAAUUUUGGUACAGUUUGUACAGGAUAGGCGGGAGCCAUUGAAACCGGAGCGCUAGCUUCGGUGGAGGCGCUGGUGGGAUACCGCCCUGACUGUAUUGAAAUUCUAACCUACGGGUCUUAUCGACCCGGGAGACAGUGUCAGGUGGGCAGUUUGACUGGGGCGGUCGCCUCCUAAAGUGUAACGGAGGCGCCCAAAGGUUCCCUCAGAAUGGUUGGAAAUCAUUCGUAGAGUGCAAAGGCAUAAGGGAGCUUGACUGCGAGACCUACAAGUCGAGCAGGGACGAAAGUCGGGCUUAGUGAUCCGGUGGUUCCGCAUGGAAGGGCCAUCGCUCAACGGAUAAAAGCUACCCCGGGGAUAACAGGCUUAUCUCCCCCAAGAGUCCACAUCGACGGGGAGGUUUGGCACCUCGAUGUCGGCUCAUCGCAUCCUGGGGCUGUAGUCGGUCCCAAGGGUUGGGCUGUUCGCCCAUUAAAGCGGUACGCGAGCUGGGUUCAGAACGUCGUGAGACAGUUCGGUCCCUAUCCGUCGUGGGCGUAGGAAAUUUGAGAGGAGCUGUCCUUAGUACGAGAGGACCGGGAUGGACGCACCGCUGGUGUACCAGUUGUUCUGCCAAGGGCAUAGCUGGGUAGCUAUGUGCGGAAGGGAUAAGUGCUGAAAGCAUCUAAGCAUGAAGCCCCCCUCAAGAUGAGAUUUCCCAUAGCGAAGCUAGUAAGAUCCCUGAAAGAUGAUCAGGUUGAUAGGUUCGAGGUGGAAGCAUGGUGACAUGUGGAGCUGACGAAUACUAAUAGAUCGAGGACUUAACCAU
rnacentral:rRNA from 1 species